UCGGGAAUUUUGGACAAUGGGCGCAAGCCUGAUCCAGCCAUGCCGCGUGAGUGAUGAAGGCCUUAGGGUUGUAAAGCUCUUUUGCCGGGGACGAUAAUGACGGUACCCGGAGAAUAUGUCCCGGCUAACUUCGUGCCAGCAGCCGCGGUAAUACGAAGGGGACUAGCGUUGUUCGGAAUCACUGGGCGUAAAGCGCACGUAGGCGGAUUUGUAAGUCAGGGGUGAAAUCCCGGGGCUCAACCUCGGAACUGCCUUUGAUACUGCGGAUCUCGAGUCCGAUAGAGGUGAGUGGAAUUCCUAGUGUAGAGGUGAAAUUCGUAGAUAUUAGGAAGAACACCGGUGGCGAAGGCGGCUCACUGGAUCGGUACUGACGCUGAGGUGCGAAAGCGUGGGGAGCAAACAGGAUUAGAUACCCUUGUAGUCCCUGAGCGGGCUGGCAAGGCGCAU
rnacentral:rRNA from 1 species